rnacentral:tRNA from 1 species
GCAUCAUUGGUGUAGUGGUAACAUGAAUCGCUACCAACGAUUCGCCCUGGGUUCAAUUCCCAGAUGAUGCA